rnacentral:rRNA from 2 species
GGAAGAGCUACAAGCUGUCUAUAUACAUGCAGUCGUACCAAGGUAACAAAUUGAUUUUAUGCUUUCAUAAAUAUUUUUCCCUUUAUAACGAGUGGCCAACUGCUGAAUACUCUGUGGAGUAACCCCUUUACUCAGCGGGGGAUAACCAUUAGAAACCAGUGGUAAUUCCGCAAAAGUUGUUGGAACCGCAUGGUUCCCUCUUGAAAGAAGGCUCUGCGAUUUAUUCGGGAUGGAACCGCGCCGUACUACUUAAUUAGUGAGAAAAAAGCCCACCAAAAACAGGAUUCCUAGGCGACCUGAGAGGGGCAUCCGCCACUUUGGGAGGGAGACGCGGCCCGGAAUCCUACCGGAGGCACCAAUAGGGGAUCUUCCACCAUGGAGUAAGGUCUGAUGGAGCAACGCCCCGUGAGUUAUGAAGGAUUUCAGAUCGUAAAACUCUGUUGUUUAAGAAGAACGAGUGUUAGACUAACUGUUAACGCUUUGACCGUAUUUAACCCCAAAGCCACGGCUAACUACGUGCCAUCAGCCGCGGUAAUACGUAUGUGGCCAACGUUGUCCCGAAUUAUUGGGCAUAUAACGAGCGCAAGCCGUUUUGUAAAUCUGCUCUGGGAGCCCUCAACUCAACUAAGUAAGUGCAAUGGAAACUACUAAACUUGAGUACAAAGCAGUAAAGUUGAACUCCAUGUGGAGCGGUGAGAUGCGUACAUAUCUGGAAUAACGCUGGUGGUGAAGGCGGGUUUCAUAAAUGUGACUGAAUCUCACGCUCGCAACCGGGGAUCUCUCACGAGAUUUAAUAACUAGGUUUUGCCUUGAGUUUACCUAGGUAUACCUCUCGUUUGCAGGGGUUGGGACUAUCAGCGGACGCCCCAAGGCGGAUAGAGUGGCCGCCUGCCGGAGAAAGAUGGAAAAGUUGGGAUUGAUUGUAAAUAACCAAGAAGCCUUACACAGGGUGGCCUCCUAGAUAAUUUAUG